rnacentral:rRNA from 1 species
CAGCAGCCACGGUAAUACGUAGGUGGCAAGCGUUGUCCGGAAUUAUUGGGCGUAAAGCGCGCGCAGGUGGUUCCUUAAGUCUGAUGUGAAAGCCCACGGCUCAACCGUGGAGGGUCAUUGGAAACUGGGGGACUUGAGUGCAGAAGAGGAAAGUGGAAUUCCAAGUGUAGCGGUGAAAUGCGUAGAUAUUUGGAGGAACACCAGUGGCGAAGGCGACUUUCUGGUCUGUAACUGACACUGAGGCGCGAAAGCGUGGGGAGCAAACAGGAUUAGAUACCCCAGUAGUCCCUGUCUCUUAUAC